rnacentral:misc_RNA from 1 species
CACAAAUAUGAAGGCGGCUGCACCUCGGUGCCACCUUGCUGAUUAUUCACCCAUGUCUUUUAGCGGACUUCUUGUUUCCUGGGGUGGCUCGCCACCACAGGACCACCACAUAAACCUUUUUGUAUUGCAAUCAGCGUCAGUACAAAUGUAAUAUUA